UGAGGAAUAUUGCGCAAUGGGGGCAACCCUGACGCAGCAACGCCGCGUGAGUGAGGAAGGUUUUCGGACCGUAAAGCUCUGUCGAGCGGGAAGAAAUGCAUGGUGGCUAAUAUCCAUCGUGCUUGACGGUACCGCUAAAGGAAGCACCGGCUAGCUCCGUGCCAGCAGCCGCGGUAAUACGGGGGGUGCGAGUGUUGUUCGGAAUUAUUGGGCGUAAAGAGCGUGUAGGCGGCCGAAUAAGUCAGAUGUGAAAUCCCUGGGCUUAACCCAGGACGUGCAUUUGAAACUAUUCGGCUAGAGUAGGGAAGAGGAAAGUGGAAUUCCUGGUGUAGAGGUGGAAUUCGUAGAUAUCAGGAGGAACACCGGUGGCGAAGGCGACUUUCUGGCCCUAUACUGACGCUGAGACGCGAGGGCGUGGGUAGCAAACAG
rnacentral:rRNA from 1 species